GGGGUGUUAGCUCAGUUGGUCAGAGCGUUCGAUUCCAAAUCGAAAGGUCACGAGUUCAAAUCUCCUACGUCUCA
rfam:Mucor circinelloides f. lusitanicus CBS 277.49 MTCCIscaffold_02, whole genome shotgun sequence.